AGGGGUGUAGCUCAGAUGGCCAGAGCGCCGGUCUCCAAAACCGGAUGCCGCAGGUUCGACUCCUGUCACCCCUGCCG
rnacentral:tRNA from 1 species